CAGCCAAGAGAGGGCCAGUGAGGGCCGAACUAGAUAGAAAGGGGCUGCUCCUGGGUCUUGUAAGCGGGAUGUGCUACUCGGCCUGUGGGCCCUACUUCAACUGUCUAAGGGGCCAUAGUGGUAGGUAGUGAGGCUCUGAGGAGGGGCAAGUAGUGGUGGCAAUAGAGCAGUGAGGGAGACACAAGGGGAAGGUAUGAGUCAGGGUUCUUCUCAGCCUGGGAAAAGAAAUCCCUCCUUCCUCAACAGCGGUUCACAGAACACUUAGCAUUGAUAUACUACUCUGGGCCAGAGUUUCCAACGUUAGACAGACUUAUUGGGAAGCCACCCCCGGUUAGGCGCUCUUCUUCUGUGUCCUUGUAACAUCGCUUAGUCCUUACACAGCAGCUUAGCAUGCUGUGUUGUAGUUGCGUAAUUAUAAACCUUUUAAGAGAGGGGCUGUAUUGUAUUCGCUCUUAUGUCCUUAAAGCCUAGCAUGGCACCUACCAUAUAGCAACCACUUAACAAAUACUUUUCUUUUUUGGUAAAUGCUUCUCAAGUAGAAACAAAUACUUUUUCAAUCAGAGGAAUACAUAAUUUUGAGCAGGAAAAUCCUUUAAUUAUUUUUUUGGAUCAGCAUUCUCUUGAAUGACCCUGAUUUUAGUAGUUGCCUGUACAGGGAGAAGCCACAGUGUGUCUGGUGGUGUCAGCUGCUGGUUCGUAUUGCUUUCCUUAUCCUUCCAGUGCUAGAGAGCACAAUUAGAGACAAGGUUUUCCCCAAACAGUUCUAAUCUAAAAUAUUCUGUCCUGGUCACCCUAGAAGCACGUGUAAACUUGUCAAUCCAUGUGCUUUGAUUUUUAUUUGAAAAUAUAUUCAACAGAAACUAAUGACAUGAAUACUCUGAGAUAGGACUGGCUGCAAAACAUGUAUGGCGUUCACUAGUCUCCUCCUGGGUUCAAGCAAUUCUCCUGUCUCAGCCUCCCGAGUAGCUGGGACUACAGGCGCCCACCACUACACCCAGCUAAUUUUUUGUGUUUUUAGUAGAGACAGGUUUCACCAUGUUGGCCAGUCUCACUUGAACUCCCGACUUCAAGUGAUCUGUCUGCCUCAACCUCCCAAAGUGUUGGGAU
rnacentral:lncRNA from 1 species